rnacentral:rRNA from 1 species
UACAGAGGUCCCGAGCGUUGUUCGGAUUCACUGGGCGUAAAGUGUGCGCAGGCGGCCGAGCAAGUCGAGUGUGAAAGCCCCGAGCUUAACUUGGGAAUUGCGCUCGAAACUACUUGGCUGGAGUGUGGCAGAGGAAGGUGGAAUUCCAGGUGUAGCGGUGAAAUGCGUAGAGAUCUGGAAGAACACCCGUGGCGAAGGCGGCUCUCUGGGACGGUACUGACGCUGAGACGCGAAAGCGUGGGGAGCGAACAGG